rnacentral:rRNA from 1 species
GAAGCCGGAAUUGCUAGUAAUGGCAGGUCAGCAUACUGCCGUGAAUACGUUCCCGGGCCUUGUACACACCGCCCGUCACACCAUGAGAGUUGGGAAUACCCGAAGCCUGUGAGCUAACAUUACGAGGCAGCAGUCGAAGGUAGAAUCAAUGAUUGGGGUGAAGUCGUAACAAGGUAAC